GGGCGACUAAACCCAAAGGCGCAUGAAGUGAAGGUUCCUUCGGACUCUAGGGAGGAUCCGUUUUAGGACGGACGAGGGGGUCAAACUCCUUGUCCGCCCCGGCGCACUCCCGGGGCGUCCCGACCGCUAUUUGCCGGUGGGGCGCACCUAGAGCGUACACGUUGGGACCCGAAAGAUGGUGAACUAUGCCUGGCCAGGACGAAGCCAGAGGAAACUCUGGUGGAGGUCCGUAGCGAUUCUGACGUGCAAAUCGAUCGUCGGAGCUGGGUAUAGGGGCGAAAGACUAAUCGAACCAUCUAGUAGCUGGUUCCCUCCGAAGUUUCCCUCAGGAUAGCUGGUGCUCGGAGAGUUGGACGACUUUAUCAGUCUCAUCCGGUAAAGCGAAUGAUUAGAGGCCUUGGGGCCGAAAUGACCUCAACCUAUUCUCAAACUUUAAAUGGGUGAGAAGUCGGGCUUGCUUGACACAACCCUCACGGGUUUGAAGCUUGACACAGGAUGUAAGAGCACCCAGUGGGCCACUUUUGGUAAGCAGAACUGGCGCUGUGGGAUGAACCAAACGCCGGGUUACGGCGCCCGAUACGACGCUUAUUAGACCCCAUGAAAGGUGUUGGUUGCUUUAGACAGCAGGACGGUGGCCAUGGAAGUCGGAAUCCGCUAAGGAGUGUGUACUAACUC
rnacentral:rRNA from 1 species